CUAUUGACUUUUAAACAUGAAAUAUUUAUUAAUAUUUACUAAACAGUAAGGCAGAAGCAAUAAGAAUCAUAACAUUUACUCGAUAUAAGGUAACAUAGGAAUAAUCAAAGCAUCACAGUCCAUUAUAAACACAGAGUGUCUUGUGGGAGGGAGAUAGUGGCCAUACAUUAAUAGAAAUCUAUUAGGCAGGUAUAAGUGAGGAACAUCUAUUUGGAAUAUCUUACAAUUUUAACUGCAAAUCUUGGUGUCCUUGGUUCAUUUAGUAACAAUCUAUACCACAUAAGGCUGAAUUUUAUAUUGACAGCUGUCCUUAUGGGUCUCAUUUCCUUCUUAUAGGAAAUCACUUUCUUCUGUUUUCUAGUAAAGAAGUAAUAGUUUUUCUUUCACCCUUAACAAUACACUGAGAAACUUUUUUCUUUAAAACAAUUUCAUGUAUGUAUGUGUUCAGUCUCUCAUCUACCACCCACCCAUCCACCUUUCCAUCUAUAUUUCUAUCUAUCUUCAUCUUUCCAUCUCUAUCUAACCAGUAUUUUGCUGGAUAGAUUUUAUUUUAAAUAGAAUAGAUCUAUUUAGCUAUCAGUCCAUAAAUCUAUGCAUUCAUAUUUCUAGCAUCUAUCUCAGUUUUCUAUCUAGCAUCUAUAAUCUAUCAUCUACCUAUCCAUCCACAUUUGUAUUUAUUAUCUACAUAUCUUCACCUCUUCCAUUAUACAUCUCCAGUUUUCCAUAUUCACCUAUCUAGAAUCUAUCUAUACAUCUGACUUACAGUCCAUAUAUCUAUCAUGUAUCUAUCAUCUACCCAUGUAUUUCUAUAUCUAUCUUUCUACUUACCUAUUUAUCUAUCUACCCAUCCAUCCAUCUAUCUAUUCAUCCAAACAUUCUCCUUAUUCAUUACAAGCAGGUUUCCUCAGUUUGGCUCUCUGGGAAAUGCAGAGCAGAUGACUUAGCUUAUGCUUUUUUUUUUUUUUUUUUUUUGAGACAUCUUUAAGCUAAACCAAGCCCAUCCUCUGGUAAUAAGAUCACAGCAAUGUAGAGGCAAAGCUUAUCUUACCCUGUCUAUUCAUUCUCCUACCCCCACUCCCACCCCAACCUUGCUCCCAAACUAUGGUGGCAAUAGGAGGUCAACCAGGCACUUUUUUGAGAAUUUCCCUUUCUCUCAGGCUGUAGAUGGCACUAGAUAGCCUAUUUUGUAUAAAAUCUAGAAACUAUAGAGCUUUCUUAGCUGAUCAAACCUUUCUUCAGCCAAUCAUUGUAAAGUGAUGACUUCCCCUAUCCCAAUCAGCAAGUUCCUAGCAAGAGAAAACAUUCUUUCCUAGCCUUGUGUAUAUUUUGUCAGUAGCUUCUUACAACCCCUCUGUUAAGCUUAUUCUAUUAAUUAUCUUGCUUUUCUUUUAAUUUUUGCCUCAUAUCUUUUAAUGUAUUAAAUCAGAGUUCUCUGGUGGUUAAUGAUUUAUAUUUGCCACAUAAGGUAAAGCUCAAGAAAUUUAACUUUUGGUUACUGAAGAACCCCAAAAUCUUUAUACAAUCUCUGUUAUUUGAUAGUUUCAAAAUUGUAAACUAUAAAAUUCUAAAAAACAACAAAAACAGAAACAUGCAGAUGAUUUCAUGAGCCAUAAUGCCCUACAACUGUUGAUCUCCUCGAUUGAAUUUCAAACAGGUCCUUUCAGUACAUUUUUUCUGAGGGAAAAUUCUCUAUCAGGUCUUCAGAGGUCCAUUUCUCUUCCAUUUUUUAGGAAAUAUUUUUCUUCAAUACUAUUUCUUCACAUUUUGAGUUUUAAAAGUUUUACUUAUAUAAAUGUUAUUUUAUUGUCCCCUUUCAGCAACCUAAUGGUUCACAUAAAGACAAUAUCUUGAAAUCAUAGGAUUGUAAACUUAGUUAGGUGGUAUGGUGAAUGGAGAAUGUGCCCUGGACCUUAUAAAAGUCUGAGUUAAAACCUAUCUUCAGAUACUUACUCGCUAGGAGACCUUGAACAAGUCACAUUACCUCUCUUUACACCCAUAAAAUGGGGAUAACAACACCUUCCUCUCCGGAUGGUAAAACUGAGUUAUUUGUCAAGUGCUUUGAAAAUUGUAAACACUAUAAAUUCUAGUUAUUAUUAUUAUUACCGGAAGGAACCCUAGAGGUCCACUAGUGAAAUCUUCUCAUUUUAAACAUAAGGAAACAAAUCCAAGGUAAAAUUGGUUCUCUUUGGGGUAUGUGAUUAAAGGAUAGAGAAAUAGUUAAGAGAUGUGAGGGUCAAAAUGGUAAAAUAGCCUUUAUGAGAGGAUUGAUAAAAAGAGGUGUCCCUCUGCUACCUACUACCAGUAUAAAAGUCACAACCACUUUGCUACUCAUUUUCCUUAUUUGUUAAGUGAGGUUGAACUAGAUAUUCUCCGAUUGUAAUUAUUUGUUAAUAUGAAGACUCAUUUCCCUGACCUGCUAUGGGAAAAAUGCUUUGCAAAGUUUUAAUUGCUAUAUUAUAGUUGUCAGUGAUAGUUGAUGCUGCUGUUCUACUACUAUUACUACUUUACUAUUAGUUAUUUCUACUCCUACUUUUACUAUUUCUAUUCCUAUUAUUACUACUAUUAUUAGUACUUCCCUUACUGCUAUUCCUACUACUAUUGCUACAAUUAUUACUAUUACUACCACUACCAUCACUACUACUGCUACUACUACUAAUUAUAGGUUCCCUAUUACUUUAGAAUUCCCCAGGUUCAGUGAAGGAUGCUUUGGGACCCAGUCACAGUUAUGCAAAUAUAGAUCAACUCCACAUGCAAUUAAUUCUCUACUAACAGACCAGAAAAGCUUUUGAUUGGGGUAGAAUAGAGAGGUAAAUGACGUAAGAAAGCUCCUUCAUCCACAAACUUCCACAGAUUCACAUGUUGCCUUCUGAGGAGUCUUUCCUAGAAAAUCUAUCUUACUAUGGUAACAUAAUAGCAUCAUGUUCCCGAUUGAUCGGAUGUCUUCUCGAGACUUCAUCUCCCCACACGACGGACCUUACUGCCGCUGCUCCAUCUGAGUCUGCAGUUUCCCCUACCUCUAAAGCUCUUCUGAAAAGCUACUGUUGUUGUUUCCUGGAGUUGCGAUCUACAUGUUAAUUUCCAUUAAGUACUUGUCAUUUUAGAGGUCGCUUGUUGGGUUUCUCCUUCAAAGGGAGUGCUGUUGCUCUUUUUUUCCCCUCCAUCACCAGCAUCCCCUUUAAUAAAACAGACAAACUAGCGGGUGACAGGGAGGGGAAAGGGGAUGGGAAUAUCGCCAUUUACAACCACAAAAAACCAAUUUGCACGUGGCUAACACCUGUUAGCGGGGGAGCGGGGAGGGAGGGGCAGGGCUGCCCCAGCGCCGGUGGGCAGCAGCGGCGGAGCCCAGGACCCCGCCGCAUCUAUUUGUAAAGGAUGUCGUAGUGUCCGGGUCUGUACAGAAGGUACACCUUGGUCUCGGAGCCCUCAGAGAAGACGUGGGUGUUGGUGGUGCCGCCCUCACCGCGGUCCAUGUACUCCACCUGGAUGGAGAUGCUGAGGGCCUGCGCCAGCGCCAUGAUGUGGAUGUGGUCACUCUCCUUGCACAUGGGCUCCACCUCCUGCUGACAAAACUCCUUGACCGUCUGUCCCCCCUCGAUGAAAUGCUCGAAGAACUUGCUCUCACGCUGCAGGUGGCCUGAGGUGAGCAGCCGCAGGUAAACCACCAGGUAGUCGGAGGUGCUCUGGUCAUUGAAGGAGGCCAGCAGUUCCGUUGCUGAGGUUCCCCUCUCCACCUGUUCGAUCAGGUCCAUGAAUGUGUUGUGGAAAUCUUCAAUUGUGAACUCGGCGAAGCCCUGGGCCACCAGGUCGUCCUUGCUCUUGGCGGAGACGGCUUUGAGCCUCUGCAGCUCCUUCUUGUCCUCCAGAAGGGCCUCCAGGUGGGAGAAGCCGAAAGCCCGGUAGAAGCAGUUGCCAUCGGGCCUGGUCUUUCGGAUGUAGGAGUACUUUUUGUGUAGGUCCUUGAUCUUCUGUUGGUAGAUGUUGUCAUCUUCGGCGUACUCCUUGUAAAGCACGGAGAGCUCCAGGCGCUCGGACACCAGGGGAUUUUGAACAGCAAUCUCUUGCUGAAUUCGGUCCUGCUGGGCCAUGAUGGCUUCAUCGUAGGCCAAACUGUUAAUUCCUUCAGAGUCACUUUCCAAUGGCUCCGGAUUCUGCUGAUGAGGUUCCUCCGCCGCCAUCUUUAAACAGCAUAUGGACUGCCUCGCCAACGAGCGUGCAACUGCGCAAUCAGCUCUGGUGUCAGUUCCAUAGUCACGGCGGGGGUGGCCCACAAAAAGCUCUUUUUCCCAACCUACUCACUAGCUUCCCAGAACAAAGUUUCAGAUACAGACAGUGAUCUCCAGUGCUCUUUGAUCCAGGGUAACUUGAAGCCAGCAUAGCAGGUAGAAGGGGAUUGCCAGCCAGCCCGACAGGACAACCCCCAAAGUCAAAGUAUCCAGGAUCCAAAUCCAAGGAGGGAUUGGAAGUGAGAACAACCUGAAACAGAAGACAAAUACCUCAGCACAUUUCACCAAGUGAGGGUAAAAAAGACGGAGACCACUAGAAAUGUGAAAAAGGAAGCCCAAGGAAGUUGUGACCUGCCCAAAGUCACAGAGGAAGUCAACUUCAUAGGCAAAAUUUGAACCUGGAUUCUUCAGCUCAAACAUGAGAAAAAAAUUAAAUAAUCAAUUAUUGGGAAGAUCUAGCUGUUCCACUAUAACUUCCUAGCCAGGAUAAACUUUAAUGGAUAAAGAGUGAAAGUCUGGAGUUAGGAAGACCUAGGUGAGAAUCUCACCAUAGGUAACCCAUGAACUAGAUAUUUAGGGAGUUGUCAAAGAUCAGCGACAAGACAAGUCAAGGUGGCUGGUGAUGACCUAGGAUUUGGUGGAUGACCUUGGUGUUUUUGACCAAGCUCUCAGUGCCCUACAAUAACUCCGAGGUGUUCAGAGGGACUAGCAGCUCUGGUGUGAGGGCGUGUUGAGUCCUUUUGGGGCUGGUCGUCCACCUUUGAGGUUUGCCUGUUACCUAACGGUCCUUGGACUCCAAGAAGUUUUACUAUGGCCAGUGGCCAGUGGCCAGCCCUUGGUACAACCAGGUGGAGGCUACCACAAGCCUCAGACCCACUGGUGAGUUAUGGGAACAUCUAUCCUACGUGAAGAUGCCUUCUGGAGAGCAGGCAAAUGAGAACCACUUGUUUUAGCAGCCGUGAAUAAUAGCAAUAUACUUACAACCUCAAUGAAUUAACAAUAUCCUCAGCAGCACCCAAUGCCUGACUGCCAUUCUCUGCAGGCCUGCUCCUCCUGGGCCCUUCUGGAACCAAUUUUUCUGUGUGUCCACCAUGAAAAGCCCCCAACACACUGAAGUUAUUCUUCUAAAUUGCUCCUAUCAGUGAAAUGAUCAUCAAAUGUUUGAGAAUAUUAACUCUGCUUAAACUUCACCAGAUCUCUCUUACCUCUAGACUCUCAAAGGGAUCUUAGGGAUCAUCUUGGCCCCAUCCCUUGUUGUAUAGAUUUGGAAUCUGGGGCCACAAGAGCUUAAGUGACUUGUGAGAAUCACAAACACGGUAAGUGAAUGAGUACCAGAGGAGGGAACUGAGCCCAGGUCUUCUCAUUUUAAAUUCAGCCUAAAUUUCCACCCUACCUGGUCAAACAUAUACUCAUGUUUUUCCCUUUUGGACUCUGUUCAUAUUAUUUAUGUACAUACAAUAUAUGGACCUUGAUAUUUAUAUGUUUUCUCUCCAUUAAAAUAAAUUCUUCUGGGAAGCAGAGAUUGUCUUGUUUUUGUUGGUUUUUCUUUGGAUCCCC
rnacentral:lncRNA from 1 species